UACGUAGGGGGCAAGCGUUGUCCGGAUUUAUUGGGCGUAAAGAGCGUGUAGGCGGCCAGGGAGGUCCGUUGUGAAAACUCGAGGCUCAACCUCGAGACGCCGAUGGAAACCCCCUGGCCAGAGUCCGGAAGAGGAGAGUGGAAUUCCUGGUGUAGCGGUGAAAUGCGCAGAUAUCAGGAAGAACACCCGUGGCUAAGGCGGCUCUCUAGUACGGUACUGACGCUGAGACGCGAAAGCGUGGGGAGCGAACAGG
rnacentral:rRNA from 1 species